UACGCAGGGUGCGAGCGUUGUCCGGAUUUAUUGGGCGUAAAGAGCUCGUAGGCGGUUUGUCGCGUCGGCCGUGAAAUCUCCACGCUUAACGUGGAGCGUGCGGUCGAUACGGGCAGACUUGAGUUCGGUAGGGGAGACUGGAAUUCCUGGUGUAGCGGUGAAAUGCGCAGAUAUCAGGAGGAACACCGGUGGCGAAGGCGGGUCUCUGGGCCGAUACUGACGCUGAGGAGCGAAAGCGUGGGGAGCGAACAGG
rnacentral:rRNA from 1 species